rnacentral:rRNA from 1 species
AGGGUUUGCUCUACUGGACGUGUGUAGCCACGAAAGGGUCCCCGGAAGGUACUGCGGACAUUUCCAGAUUUGAUAACAGUGCCAUUAAAUAAACAACGUGGAACUGAACCAUCUUAGUACACGUUAGUGGUCGGUAGUAACGGUGAGUGAACCCGGCAGCAGUUGGCCUUUCGUGCACAGGAACCCUAUGGAAAAUAGGGAGCUCUAAAGGCAAACACCCCAUAAAAGUAACACUGUCUUAUAGUUUAGUAAGGCCAACAGCAAAGUACGGAAAGGCCUACACAAUUCCGCUAUGGGGUUUAUAUGCCGAAGACGCCAAAGCGGGUGAAAGCCCCUUACCUGCAUGUGGCCUGGGCGUCAUCGCUGUUGUAGGGGCACCUCCCCACAUGACGACGAUUGGCAGCAAACACCGAUAGUGAACAAGUACCGUGAGGGAAAGGUGAAAAGCACGCGGAUCGCGGUUGAAAUAGACACUGAAACUCUAGGAUGUAGUAGCUGUCGCACGGAUACCCGAAAAGGAAGCAAAAGCAAAGCGUGGAGCCGCCGAAGGCGUUGUUGGCCUUUUAUUGUCUUGGCCUUAGCAAGCGCCGAAGGAAGGCUUCCUUUUAAGCAAAGACCAAGACCUAGCCUUUGUCUGUUUGUAGUUUGAAUAGGGGUUUGGCGGCGUACCUUUUGUAUAAUGGGUCAGCGAGUUGUUUUCUGGUGCGAAGGCUUAAGCCGUUAGGUGGAGGCAAAGAUGAUCGCGAUGUGUAUUCCGCCAAUGUCCCAGGAAACAGACCCGAAAUCCAGUGAGCUGGCCGCUUACAGGUUGAACGCGACCGAUAGGGCGCCGGGAGGACCUCACGCACGUCUGUGGCAAAAGGCGGCGAAGAUGAGCGGCCAGGGGUGAAAGGCCAAUCAAACUGGGAAAUAGCUGGUUUUUUGCGAAAUCUAUUGUGGUAGAGUGCUGUGAAUAACUGUUCGGUGUAGACAACUAUGGUGACGCCUCGCGCUUAUACCUUAGUAAGUUAUCAAGACCAGCAGGUGCUAGUUAUAUUAAGCCGUCCUACGGCCGCCCUCUUUACGGUUGCACGUGCUACGGGCCCCGAAAGGGGCCUAGGGAAAAGCGCCAACAGCAGACGAGGAGCGUACCAGCUUUAUACGCCAUAAACAAACCAAUGAAUCGGUUGGUAAAGCGGUGCGCUCCUUCAGUAAGUACGUCCAAAGGCCAACGCCACCCCUUUGAAAGGCCAACGACAACUUUUAGGGCCGCGAAACGAAGACGAGCGCUGCAAUACGGUGCUAGCCGCAAUACGGUGCGCGGAGCGCUUGUGCAAAGGAGGGGGUCCUUACCGCGUUGUUUGGCCAUUUGUUUGCGGGUUUAGUUUAUAAGAUUCAGCGCACAGAUCCAUUGCCCAAGGUUUUGGGUCAAAAGGGAAACAGCCCAGAUCAUCCGUUAAGGGCCCUAAAGAGUGUACUUACAAAGGCCUACAGAGCAGCAGUGACCGCCAGAAAGUGGGCUUGGAAGCAGCCAUCUUUUUAAAACAGCGUAAUAGCGCACUGGCCGAGCGCUUUUGGGCCAAAUAAUGCACGGGUGUGACACUCUCCCGAAACGAUGGCUGGCAGCCGCCAGGGUAGCAAAACGUUCUGACCAACUGGCUCAGAAGUGAUAAUGCUGACAUGAGUAGCAACACUUCAGUGAAACACUGGAGCAUUUGGCUAAGGUUUUCUGGGCGCCGUUGGUCGUCCCAGUAAGCAAUCGGCCCCUAAGCACUUAUUGUGGUGAAGGGGAAGGCAGUGGAGUUAAUAGGCGUUGUUUCGGUUCCUAGGACUACACCGACAUAAUGCGCACCAAAAGAAACGCCGAAGCACUUUGGGUUGCCGUAGGACGUGGCGUUUAUUCCAUGUAAUGAAACGGAAUGCAAACGAGUACUAAGGCAUCCUCAAUCGCUGGAGUUAUGCUGUUGGAUCUCAAGGCUUGGCCUGGAGCCAAGUAUGCUAAAAGCCGGUACCAAAAACCGUUAUAUACUUUAAAAAUAAUGAAAAUACUUCGUCAUCCGAAAGCGCCUGUUUUCAGCAGGACCCAUCGGCGAGCUCUGGGCCUAUAAGGGCGUAGCCCUACGGGGAGCGAAGGUCCGGCGUGCUGCGGGUUUCGUCUCUUCUGGAAAAGAACCGCAUAGAGCACCGUACCAAAACCAACACUGGUGGCCAAAAGAAAAUGACGAGAGAAUCCCG